rnacentral:misc_RNA from 1 species
CCCUCCUUUCUCGAGCUAGACGUGUCAAACGUUGAGCGCUCACGCUUAUCGGCUGUAGUAGUAAAGAAACGCAGACAGACUCAGGGGUCUGUAGCUCAGUCGGUUAGAGCACCGUCUUGAUAAGGCGGGGGUCGAUGGUUCGAAUCCAUCCAGACCCACCACUGUCUUGUCUGGUGCGCUGGGCGUCUGAAUGCCUCUGGGGUGACUGUAUGACUGGGGGAUUAGCUCAGCUGGGAGAGCACCUGCUUUGCAAGCAGGGGGUCGUCGGUUCGAUCCCGUCAUCCUCCACCAAUCCUCAAUGCGUAGGGUUCUGUGUCAGGUACACAGAGCGUUGUGCAUUGGCGAUUGAGCCAGUCAGUAAGGAUACGCGGUUACAGCAAUCGCGCUAUCGGCUGAACGUUCUUUAACAAUCAGGAAGAAGUAGUAAAGAGAUUCACGAAAGUGUACUUAGAGAUGGGUACAUGAGUAGGUGAAUCAGGGUUGUGAUUGUAUCGAUGUAUUUUUAAGGGAAUCGAAAGAUUGCCUUUGGAAUACGGCGCAACACGAAUACUCAACCUGUAGCGAGUGCGUCGCGAGACACACCCGUUAUAGGGUCAAGCGAACAAGUGCAUGUGGUGGAUGCCUUGGCGAUCACAGGCGAUGAAGGACGCGGUAGCCUGCGAAAAGCUACGGGGAGCUGGCAAACGAGCUUUGAUCCGUAGAUGUCCGAAUGAG